GAUGAAGAACGUAGCGAAAUGCGAUACGUAAUGUGAAUUGCAGAAUUCAGUGAAUCAUCGAGUCUUUGAACGCACAUUGCGCCCCCUGGUAUUCCGGGGGGCAUGCCUGUCCGAGCGUCAUUGCUGCCCUCAAGCACGGCUUGUGUGUUGGGCCUCCGUCCUCCUCCCGGGGGACGGGCCCGAAAGGCAGCGGCGGCACCGCGUCCGGUCCUCGAGCGUAUGGGGCUUCGUCACCCGCUCUUGUAGGCCCGGCCCGCGCUUGCCGACACAUCAAUCUUUUUUCCAGGUUGACCUCGGAUCAGGUAGGGAUACCCGCUGAACUUAAGCAUAUCAAUAAGCGGAGGA
rnacentral:misc_RNA from 1 species